rnacentral:lncRNA from 1 species
AAAUGGUGAUACCAAAUACACUGAUAAUUGUGCGUCUUUAUGGAAGUCUUCAGCGAAUGACCAAAUUGGUAGAGAAUUAAGACACAAAGACCUGUAGAAGGGGUGACCUUGUAAUUACAAAAUGGUCGGCAAAGCUUACUCAGUUGUUAUGCAUCACACAGCUUUCCUUUUUGCUUCAUUAAUAACAAUAAAUUUAGCUCUCUCAUACAAAGCAAUGCUCUUCUGCAAUUCCCAGCCACAAUUCGCAUCAACAGACACAUGGCAAUGCCGGAGCCGUUGGUUCAUAAGUUUUAUAGUCAAUCUAUAAAUCAACACAGCUUCCUGUUUCCGUACUGAAUUGAAUUACACAUUAUAGAAAUUCACAGCUCAGUUUUCAUGGGAAAUCAGCCAUUUAAAACCGUAUUAUUUAAUUAAUUUUCUUGAUAAAUACUAAAAUUAAAUUGAAGGUGGAAAUUUUUUUUAUUACGUUA